GAUCUGGUGGCCAAGUGGAUAAAGCGUUUGCCUCAGAUGCGGGAGGUCGUGCAUUCGAUCCCCGACCAAGUCA